rnacentral:rRNA from 1 species
ACGCUAUUAGGUGGAUAGCUCGGCUCAGAUGCUGAUGAAGGGCGCGGCAAGCUGCGAUAAGCCAUGGGUAACCGCACGCAGGUUAAGAUCCAUGGGUUCCUGAAUGAGACUUCUUGACAUGCAGUAAUGUGUGUCGCUUGCUUUGCAAGUAGGAACGCGGUGAAUUGAAACAUCUUAGUAACCGCAGGAAAAAAAAUCAAUUGAGAUGUCGUGAGUAAUGGCGAAUGAAAUCGACACAGGGCAAUCUGAAUCUGUUAUAGUGAUAUAAUAGACAUGUGGAUUUUCAGAGCUGCAUUUGCUAUCUUCUAAAUUAAGCUGAAGUUCUUUGGAAAAAGAUACUAUAGAGGGUGAUAGUCCCGUAGGCGUAAACUUGGAAGAUGGUGCAGUUUCUAGAAUACACGGGGUUGAUACUCCUCGUGGAAAUUGGGAGACAGUAACUUCCAACCCUAAAUACUCUCUGAGACCGAUAGUUUAGUAGUACCGUGAGGGAAAGCUGAAAAGGAUCCAGAAAUGGAUGUGAAAAGAACUUGAAACCUAAUAGUUACAGUAUGCUGCGGCUCAAAAGGCUGAUCUAUGAGUGAAGUUGUCGUAAGGCAAUUUUAGCGAACAGAUUAGUUCCAGGGUUGCAGUGUGUGUUUCGGAUAAUGUGGCAGGGAGUUUGUCUUAAUGGCGAGAAUAACUUCUGUUUAGGAAGGCAUUCUAAGCGAAAGCGAUAUGCGCGCAGCUGGCUUGUCCAGUGAGGUGCGACGUGCGAAAGUGCGUGCAGUCAUUAGGAUCAUACCCGAAGCCGUACGAUCUACGCCUGGUUAGGAUGAAGUGGGGGCUAACCCUCCCAUGGAGGUCCGAAGAGUUGCUGCCUUUCAAAGCGCUCUCAUGAACUGGGUGUAGGGGUAAAAGGCCAAUCAUGUGCGGCAAUAGCUGGUUCCUCUCAAAAUGAGCCUAAGCUCAGCCUUGUCCGAGUUAGCUAAAAAGGUAGAGCACUGAUUGAGUAUUCAGGAAUCGAGAGAUUUCGAUACACUGUCAAACUCCGAAUUUUUUAGCGACGUAGAAGACAGGAGUGGGGGCACUGGGGUAAGCUUGGUGUCCAAAAGUGGAACAACACAGACUAAAGUUAAGGUCCCAAAAUGCUGAUUGAGUGAAACGAACUUAGUCACCAGUCGUAGACAGCCGGGAGGUAGGCUUAGAAGUAGCCAUCCUUUAAAAAGUGUGUAACAGCUCACCGGUCAAUGACUGUUGGCGAGGAAAAUGGACGGGUCUAAAUCAGCUACCGAUACUUUAGACCGCACCCUACUGGGGUGUGUGUGGUAGAGAGGCGUGUCGCAUGGGUAGAAGAUGGGUCGUAAGAACCAUUGGACCGUGUGAUAUUGAAAAUCCUGCCGGUAGUAGUAGCAUAGAUGGGUGAGAAUCCCAUCCGCCUUAUGAGCUAGGUUUCCUCGGCAAUGCUUCGUCAGCCGAGGGUUAGUCGAGCCUAACCAACAGGGUAAUUCCUAUGUUGGGAAAGGGAAGCAGGUUAAUAUUCCUGCACCGCUUAGAUACGUUCGGCAACGAAAGCCUGUUCGAUGACGUUUCUGGAUAAGUGAAGCAGUACCAUCGUACUGUUUAACAAGGAUAAAUCCAAGGAGUUCUGUAAUGGAGAGAUUUGGAUUAAACUUGGAAUAGCUGACGUAUGUCAGUUUCGCUGAAUCCCGGAACCCGUGAAAAGUUGAACAGGAAGGAUUCUAAGUGACCGUACCGAGAACCGAGACAGGUGUCUCAGGCUUAGAAGGCCAAGGCGUGUAAGGAUAAUUCAAGUCAAGGGAAUUCGGCAAAAUCGCCCCGUAACUUCGGGAGAAGGGGUGCCUGCGAUAGUGUUUCUUAAUGAAGUGUUAUUGCAGGUCGCAGUAACAAGGGAAACCGGACUGUUUAAUAAAAACAUAGCUGGUUGCAAAUCGGAAACGAUUCGUACAACCGGCGACGCCUGCCCAGUGCCGGUAUCUGAAUGCUCAUUUCAAUGGGUUCAAGGACCGGUAAACGGCGGAGGUAACUGUAACCUUCUUAAGCAAGCGCAAUGCCUUGCCGUUUAAUUGACGGCUUUGCGAACGGCGUAACUAGGUUUCCACUGUCCCUGGCUGAAACCUUAUGAACACACUAUUCUGGUGCAAAGGCCAGAGAAUUCCAUUGGGACGAAAAGACCCCAGGAACUUUACUAUAGCCUGUACUUGCGUUUCAGAUUUUAG